rnacentral:rRNA from 1 species
GACGGAGGGGGCAAGCGUUGUUCGGAAUCACUGGGCGUAAAGCGCGCGCAGGCGGAUCGGUAAGUCGGGGGUGAAAGCCCGGGGCUCAACCUCGGAAUUGCCUUCGAAACUGUCGGUCUCGAGUCCGGGAGAGGUUGGUGGAAUUCCUGGUGUAGAGGUGAAAUUCGUAGAUAUUAGGAAGAACACCAGUGGCGAAGGCGGCUCACUGGCCGGUGACUGACGCUCAGAUGCGAAAGCGUGGGGAGCAAACAGG